ACGGUACCGGCAUAAGAAGCACCGGCUAACUACGUGCCAGCAGCCGCGGUAAUACGUAGGGUGCGAGCGUUAAUCGGAAUUACUGGGCGUAAAGCGUGCGCAGGCGGUUUUGUAAGACAGGCGUGAAAUCCCCGGGCUCAACCUGGGAACUGCGCUUGUGACUGCAAGGCUAGAGUACGGCAGAGGGGGGUGGAAUUCCACGUGUAGCAGUGAAAUGCGUAGAGAUGUGGAGGAACACCAAUGGCGAAGGCAGCCCCCUGGGUCGAUACUGACGCUCAUGCACGAAAGCGUGGGUAGCAAACAGGAUUAGAUACCCUGGUAGUCCACGCCCUAAACGAUGUCAACUAGGUGUUGGGUGGGUAAAACCAUUUAGUACCGUAGCUAACGCGUGAAGUUGACCGCCUGGGGAGUACGGCCGCAAGGUUAAAACUCAAAGGAAUUGACGGGGACCCGCACAAGCGGUGGAUGAUGUGGAUUAAUUCGAUGCAACGCGAAAAACCUUACCUACCCUUGACAUGUCAGAAACUUGGGCAGAGAUGCCUUUGGUGCCCGAAAG
rnacentral:rRNA from 1 species